CCUACGGGAGGCAGUAGUGGGGAAUAUUGGACAAUGGGGGGAACCCUGAUCCAGCCAUGCCGCGUGUGUGAAGAAGGCCCUCGGGUUGUAAAGCACUUUCAGUGAGGAAGAACGCCUGGUGGUUAAUACCCAUCAGGAAAGACAUCACUCACAGAAGAAGCACCGGCUAACUCCGUGCCAGCAGCCGCGGUAAUACGGAGGGUGCGAGCGUUAAUCGGAAUUACUGGGCGUAAAGCGCGCGUAGGUGGCUUGAUAAGCCGGUUGUGAAAGCCCCGGGCUCAACCUGGGAACGGCAUCCGGAACUGUCAAGCUAGAGUGCAGGAGAGGAAGGUAGAAUUCCCGGUGUAGCGGUGAAAUGCGUAGAGAUCGGGAGGAAUACCAGUGGCGAAGGCGGCCUUCUGGACUGACACUGACACUGAGGUGCGAAAGCGUGGGUAGCAAACAGGAUUAGAUACCCUAGUAGUC
rnacentral:rRNA from 1 species